GUCCUAGUCUACUGGUCAGGAGGGUGUCCUAGUCUACUGGUCAGGAGGAUGUCCUAGUCUACUGGUCAGGAGGGUGUCCUAGUCUACUGGUCAGGAGGGUGUCCUAGUCUACUGGUCAGGAGGGUGUCCUAGUCUACUGGUCAGGAGGGUGUCCUAGUCUACUGGUCAGGAGGGUGUCCUAGUCUACUGGUCAGGAUAGGGUGUCCUAGUCUACUGGUCAGGAGGGUGUCCUAGUCUACUGGUCAGGAGGGUGUCCUAGUCUAAUGGUCAGGAGGGUGUCCUAGUCUACUGGUCAGGAGAGGGUGUCCUAGUCUACUGGUCAGGAGGGUGUCCUAGUCUACUGGUCAGGAGAGGGUGUCCUAGUCUACUGGUCAGGAGAGGGUGUCCUAGUCUACUGGUCAGGAGGGUGUCCUAGUCUACUGGUCAGGAGGGUGUCCUAGUCUACUGGUCAGGAGGGUGUCCUAGUCUACUGGUCAGGAGGAUGUCCUAGUCUACUGGUCAGGAGGGUGUCCUAGUCUACUGGUCAGGAGGGUGUCCUAGUCUACUGGUCAGGAGAGGGUGUCCUAGUCUACUGGUCAGGAGGGUGUCCUAGUCUACUGGUCAGGAGGGUGUCCUAGUCUACUGGUCAGGAAGGUGUCCUAGUCUACUGGUCAGGAGGGUGUCCUAGUCUACUGGUCAGGAGGGUGUCCUAGUCUACUGGUCAGGAGGAUGUCCUAGUCUACUGGUCAGGAGGGUGUCCUAGUCUACUGGUCAGGAGGGUGUCCUAGUCUACUGGUCAGGAGGGUGUCCUAGUCUACUGGUCAGGAGGGUGUCCUAGUCUACUGGUCAGGAGGGUGUCCUAGUCUACUGGUCAGGAUAGGGUGUCCUAGUCUACUGGUCAGGAUAGGGUGUCCUAGUCUACUGGUCAGGAUAGGGUGUCCUAGUCUACUGGUCAGGAUAGGGUGUCCUAGUCUACUGGUCAGGAUAGGGUGUCCUAGUCUACUGGUCAGGAGGGUGUCCUAGUCUACUGGUCAGGAGGGUGUCCUAGUCUACUGGUCAGGAGGGUGUCCUAGUCUACUGGUCAGGAGGGUGUCCUAGUCUACUGGUCAGGAGGGUGUCCUAGUCUACUGGUCAGGAAGGUGUCCUAGUCUACUGGUCAGGAGGGUGUCCUAGUCUACUGGUCAGGAGGGUGUCCUAGUCUACUGGUCAGGAGGGUGUCCUAGUCUACUGGUCAGGAGGGUGUCCUAGUCUACUGGUCAGGAGGGUGUCCUAGUCUACUGGUCAGGAGGGUGUCCUAGUCUACUGGUCAGGAGGGUGUCCUAGUCUAAUGGUCAGGAGAGGGUGUCCUAGUCUACUGGUCAGGAGGGUGUCCUAGUCUACUGGUCAGGAGAGGGUGUCCUAGUCUACUGGUCAGGAGAGGGUGUCCUAGUCUACUGGUCAGGAGAGGGUGUCCUAGUCUACUGGUCAGGAGGGUGUCCUAGUCUACUGGUCAGGAGGGUGUCCUAGUCUACUGGUCAGGAGGGUGUCCUAGUCUACUGGUCAGGAGGAUGUCCUAGUCUACUGGUCAGGAGGAUGUCCUAGUCUACUGGUCAGGAGGGUGUCCUAGUCUACUGGUCAGGAAGGUGUCCUAGUCUACUGGUCAGGAGGGUGUCCUAGUCUACUGGUCAGGAGGAUGUCCUAGUCUACUGGUCAGGAGGGUGUCCUAGUCUACUGGUCAGGAGAGGGUGUCCUAGUCUACUGGUCAGGAGGGUGUCCUAGUCUACUGGUCAGGAGGGUGUCCUAGUCUACUGGUCAGGAGGGUGUCCUAGUCUACUGGUCAGGAGGGUGUCCUAGUCUACUGGUCAGGAGGGUGUCCUAGUCUACUGGUCAGGAGGGUGUCCUAGUCUACUGGUCAGGAUAGGGUGUCCUAGUCUACUGGUCAGGAUAGGGUGUCCUAGUCUACUGGUCAGGAUAGGGUGUCCUAGUCUACUGGUCAGGAUAGGGUGUCCUAGUCUACUGGUCAGGAUAGGGUGUCCUAGUCUACUGGUCAGGAGGGUGUCCUAGUCUACUGGUCAGGAGGGUGUCCUAGUCUACUGGUCAGGAGGGUGUCCUAGUCUACUGGUCAGGAGGGUGUCCUAGUCUACUGGUCAGGAAGGUGUCCUAGUCUACUGGUCAGGAGGGUGUCCUAGUCUACUGGUCAGGAGGGUGUCCUAGUCUACUGGUCAGGAGGGUGUCCUAGUCUACUGGUCAGGAGGGUGUCCUAGUCUACUGGUCAGGAGGGUGUCCUAGUCUACUGGUCAGGAGGGUGUCCUAGUCUACUGGUCAGGAGGGUGUCCUAGUCUACUGGUCAGGAGGGUGUCCUAGUCUACUGGUCAGGAGGGUGUCCUAGUCUACUGGUCAGGAGAGGGUGUCCUAGUCUACUGGUCAGGAGGGUGUCCUAGUCUACUGGUCAGGAGGGUGUCCUAGUCUACUGGUCAGGAGGGUGUCCUAGUCUAAUGGUCAGGAGAGGGUGUCCUAGUCUACUGGUCAGGAGGGUGUCCUAGUCUACUGGUCAGGAGAGGGUGUCCUAGUCUACUGGUCAGGAGAGGGUGUCCUAGUCUACUGGUCAGGAGGAUGUCCUAGUCUACUGGUCAGGAGGGUGUCCUAGUCUACUGGUCAGGAGGGUGUCCUAGUCUACUGGUCAGGAGGGUGUCCUAGUCUACUGGUCAGGAGGAUGUCCUAGUCUACUGGUCAGGAGGGUGUCCUAGUCUACUGGUCAGGAGAGGGUGUCCUAGUCUACUGGUCAGGAGGGUGUCCUAGUCUACUGGUCAGGAGGGUGUCCUAGUCUACUGGUCAGGAAGGUGUCCUAGUCUACUGGUCAGGAGGGUGUCCUAGUCUACUGGUCAGGAGGAUGUCCUAGUCUACUGGUCAGGAGGGUGUCCUAGUCUACUGGUCAGGAGGAUGUCCUAGUCUACUGGUCAGGAGGGUGUCCUAGUCUACUGGUCAGGAGGAUGUCCUAGUCUACUGGUCAGGAGGGUGUCCUAGUCUACUGGUCAGGAAGGUGUCCUAGUCUACUGGUCAGGAGGGUGUCCUAGUCUACUGGUCAGGAGGAUGUCCUAGUCUACUGGUCAGGAGGGUGUCCUAGUCUACUGGUCAGGAGAGGGUGCCCUAGUCUACUGGUCAGGAGGGUGUCCUAGUCUACUGGUCAGGAGGGUGUCCUAGUCUACUGGUCAGGAGGGUGUCCUAGUCUACUGGUCAGGAGGGUGUCCUAGUCUACUGGUCAGGAUAGGGUGUCCUAGUCUACUGGUCAGGAUAGGGUGUCCUAGUCUACUGGUCAGGAUAGGGUGUCCUAGUCUACUGGUCAGGAUAGGGUGUCCUAGUCUACUGGUCAGGAUAGGGUGUCCUAGUCUACUGGUCAGGAUAGGGUGUCCUAGUCUACUGGUCAGGAGGGUGUCCUAGUCUACUGGUCAGGAGGGUGUCCUAGUCUACUGGUCAGGAGGGUGUCCUAGUCUACUGGUCAGGAGGGUGUCCUAGUCUACUGGUCAGGAGGGUGUCCUAGUCUACUGGUCAGGAGGGUGUCCUAGUCUACUGGUCAGGAGGGUGUCCUAGUCUACUGGUCAGGAGGGUGUCCUAGUCUACUGGUCAGGAGGGUGUCCUAGUCUACUGGUCAGGAGGGUGUCCUAGUCUACUGGUCUGAAGGGUGUCCUAGUCUACUGGUCAGGAGGGUGUCCUAGUCUACUGGUCUGAAUGGUGUCCUAGUCUACUGGUCUGAAGGGUGUCCUAGUCUACUGGUCUGAAGGGUGUCCUAGUCUACUGGUCUGAAGGGUGUCCUAG